rnacentral:rRNA from 1 species
UACGGGGGGAGCAAGCGUUGUUCGGAUUUAUCGUGGCGUAAAGCGCGCGUAGGCGGAUCUGCAAGUCGGGGGUGAAAUCCCGAGGCUCAACCUCGGAACUGCCUUCGAUACUGCGGGUCUCGAGUCCGGGAGAGGUGAGUGGAAUUCCUAGUGUAGAGGUGAAAUUCGUAGAUAUUAGGAAGAACACCAGUGGCGAAGGCGGCUCACUGGCCCGGUACUGACGCUGAGGCGCGAAAGCGUGGGGAGCAAACAGG